ACUUUUUAAUGGAAACAACUUGACC
rnacentral:piRNA from 1 species